UUUUUUUUUUUUUUUUUUCUUUUUAGGGCCACACUUGUGGCAUAUGAAGGUCCCCCCAGGCUAGGGGUCCAAUUGGAGCUGUAGGCCUACUCCUACAGCCCAGCAACACCAGACCUGAACUGCCUCUGUGACCUAGACCACAAUACACCACAAGCUCAUGGCAAUGCCAGAUCCUUAACCCACUAAGUGAGGCCAGGGAUCGAACCUACAUCCUUAUGGAUCCUAAUUGGGUUCGUUAACCACUGAGCCACGAUGGGAACUUAGUCUGUUCUAUUUUUUUCUUUUUUUCUUUUUUUUUGUCUUUUUGCCAUUUCUUGGGAUGCUCCUGCGGCAUAUGGAGGUUCCCAGGCUAGGGGUCGAAUCGAAGCUGUAGCCACCAGCCUACACCAAAGCCACAGCAAUGCAGGAUCUAAGUCCCGCUUCUGCAACCUACACCACAGCUCACGGCAACGCCGGAUCGUUAACCCACUGAGCAAGGGCAGGGACCGAACCCGCAACCUCAUGGUUCCUAGUCGGAUUCGUUAACCACUGCGCCGCGACGGGAACUCCUAUAGGUUGUUUUUAGUGGAAGAGAUGAGAAAUGCUAAGGCAGAAAUAUCCAUAUUCUGUACAUGGGCUGCAUUAAUAACGUCUUUAGUAAGCAUUAUCACUGCUAAGGAUCAUCUUUUGCUUAGUUUAUAAAUUAGGAAGAAUCAACUAUAUAUAUACACAUACACAAAUAUGCAUAUGUGUGUGUGUGUGUGUGUGUGUGUGUAUAUAUAUAUAUUUUUUUUUUUUGGCCUCACUGGUAGCAUGUGAAAAUUCCCGGGCCAGGGAUGGAAUCAGAGCUGCAGCUGUCACCUAUGCCACAGUUGUGGCAAUGCCUGAUCCUUAACCCACUGUGCCACAGUGGGAAAUUCAUGAAUCAACUAAAUUCUAAUUUUCCUAAUUUCUUAUUGGACUAAUCAAAACUAAACCUAAAACCCAUUCUCAUAAACUCAAACUAAAAUAAAAUCUAAUCUAUCUGGACAAAGUACAAGAGUUAGUGCUCAAAAAUAGGAAAAUAUGUACAUUAUGUCUGAAUGUAUUUUGAGAAAAAUUAUUAGAUAUUUGGUAUUUUUUUUCUGGGGCCUCUAAAUUAAUCUAAACUUUCUUAAAUAUUUUGAGAGGGUUUAAAUGGAAACUUGCUAAACCCAUCCUUUAUCCAGUGCCAAAUGAUAACACCUGCAAUACUUCCAAAUUUUGGAACCCUUAUUCACUUGUAGAGAUUCUAAAAUAAUACAUGUUUUCCCAGAUCAUGAGAUGGGAUUCAUCCAAUUUAUAAUAUUUCAGGUCUGAAGAAACAUGCCUUCCUUUAAGAGUCAUUCAUUUGAUACAAACCAUUCAAAUAUAUUUUCCUUAUGACUGGUGAGUUACUGCAAUCAUUAAUGUAAAUGCGAAAAGUUCGACAUCCAGACAAUCAGUACCCAAUCACAAAGAGUCCAACAGUUCCCCAGGGUUGAUCUCAUUCCUCUCUACUUUUAUCCCAGUUUAUCCUGACAACAUAUGGAAAAAAGUGGCGAUUAGUAGUUGUCAAACAUUUUAAGCAAGAAGACACAAACUUCUUUUGUCACUAAUAAAGUUUUAACAAGUACUGAAUAUGAGCAAAAAAUUCUUCCUUCUUUACAAAGCAAAUACCUCAUGGUCUUGCUUUAUAUAUUCUUUAUUCUCUAUUGCUUCAGAAAGUCAAAACAUAAAUAUCAUUAAACUCAAUUAUAUAAAUGAUACAAAAUACAUAGGAUCCACAUGUAAGUUAGGUAUUGGAGGCACUAAAGUGCUAGAUAACUGAACAAUUUAUAUUGCCUCUUGUCCAGGCAUUUGGCACUAUAAAAGCACAUUUGAAUAUUCUAGAAAAAAUAAGUAUUUUUCUUCACUUCUAAGUUCAGUCUUUUCAAAUAUGUUGAGGACUUACUAAGUAUAAUCAUUGUGAUGGAAGCUAGACUAAGCAUAAAAAUGCCUGGCGUCCACAUUCAUGGUUGGUUUUUGCAAGCGUAGACCACUGUUUUAUCCUGGAUUGGAACCCUUCUAGUGAUGAAUGCUUGACUUAGAAGGACUUGAGAGAAGUACAAGUGAUUGUUAACUCAAGAAUUUGCAUUUUCUCAGCCUAGCUAAACCACUGAAUUGCCCCCAUCUCAUUAAGUGUCUCUUCACUCUGUAACGUUAGAACUCUCCUUUAUAUCCUGGGUCUAACAAUAUAUGUAGAAGAUUUGUCAAAAGACAAUCUCAAAAUUUGAUGACUUUUUACUGUGCUUUUGCACCUCCCUUCCCUAGUACCUUCUUCAUGGCCUCUUUAACAUCUUUAUUUCUUAGUGUGUAGAUCAGGGGGUUAACACUAGGAGUGACAAUUGUGUAGAAAAGAGUAAGGAACUUGCCCUGGUCCUGGGAAUAAGUGUUUGCUGGCUGGAGGUACAUGUAUAUGAUCGUACCAUAGAAGAGAGAGACAACAAUGAGGUGGGAGCUGCAGGUGUUGAAGGCUUUCUUCCGCCCAGCAGCUGACUUGAUCCUAAGCACUGCUUGUGCUAUGUAACCAUAUGAGAUGAGGAUGAGAAUGAGUGGCACCAAGAUGAUAAAGAUUGACAAGGCAAAUUCCAGUGCCUCAAGAGUCAUGGUAUCUACACAGGCCAUGCCAAUUA
rnacentral:lncRNA from 1 species